rnacentral:tmRNA from 1 species
GGGGACGAAAGGGUUCGACAGGGAAGGUUGAGCCCGGAUUGCAGGCCGAGUUCGUCACCAACUCGAAAAUCAGGUGGCGCUAAAAGUAACUGGCAGAACAAACCAGUACGCACUGGCUGCCUAAUCUAGGCUAGUCACGUUGGGUCCAGGCCUCACCCCGAUGGGCAGGGCCCGACGCCGCAAUGUCGGGGUGCUGUCUCUCCGACGCCGAUGCAGAGAGACCUAAGACUUUUCGGCUGGCGCGGCGGCAAGUUAGCCGCGGACGUACGUCGCGCGAGAUUGAAACGACGGCUAAGCCUGUAGGAGAUUCGGGGAGGCUUUCCUCUGGACGAGGGGUUCGAUUCCCCUCCGUCUCCACCA